CAGUCGCCGCGGUAAUACGUAGGUGGCAAGCGUUGUCCGGAAUUAUUGGGCGUAAAGGGCUCGCAGGCGGUUUCUUAAGUCUGAUGUGAAAGCCCCCGGCUCAACCGGGGAGGGUCAUUGGAAACUGGGAAACUUGAGUGCAGAAGAGGAGAGUGGAAUUCCACGUGUAGCGGUGAAAUGCGUAGAGAUGUGGAGGAACACCAGUGGCGAAGGCGACUCUCUGGUCUGUAACUGACGCUGAGGAGCGAAAGCGUGGGGAGCGAACAGAAUUAGAUACCCCCGUAGUCCCUGUCUCUUAUAU
rnacentral:rRNA from 1 species